rnacentral:rRNA from 1 species
AACGAACGCUGGCGGCAUGCCUAACACAUGCAAGUCGAACGAGAACUUCGGGCCUUGUUGCGCACGUCUGCGUACCGCCUGGUAACCUGCACUUAGGUACGGAACCCCUCCCUGUGGGGGGUGCUAAUGCCGGUGAGUGUCUUAGCGGCUAAGAUGUCUUGCCUUUGGCUGGGGGCGCGUUGGUUUCGCUGGUUGGUAGGGUAAUAGCCUACCAAGGCGAGGAUGCAUGGCUGGUGGGUGAGCAUGGUCAGGAACACUGGGACUGAGGCACGGACCAGACUGGUACGCAGGGCAGCAGUGGGGAAUAUUAGAGGAUGGGCCAAAGCCUGAUCCAGCAAUGCCGCGUAAGUGAUGAAGGCCGUAGGGUUGUAAAGCUCUCUUACCCGGGAUGAUAAUGACGGUACCGGGUGAAGAAGCUCCGGCUAACUCCGUG